ACCCCUGUAGCUCAGUGGAAGAGCGCCCGCUUGAUAAGCGGAAGAGGAGAGUUCGAUUCUCUCCAGGGGUA
rnacentral:tRNA from 1 species